rnacentral:lncRNA from 13 species
AUGCAGGACCUGGGAAGCUCUAUCCUGGGACCACCUCUAAGACCUACUCCACUAGCUUGCUCCUCACCGACGCCACAGAGCAGCAGAAGUCGUAGCAGGGGUGUGAGAAGGGAGAAAAAAGCCGCAGACUCUGUCCUUGACACAUCACUCGCAAAGGCAUUGCAAAUGAUUGGAGACAUAUCCCUAAGAAGAUAUGGAGAACGUCAUGUACUGUGCCAGCAGCUUGUCACAGAGGGUCCUAGCACCUGUUGCUGAUUUCAUGGAUCAACUCUCGCCAAAACUCCAGGAGGAAUUCGAUGACCAGCUGCAUGAGUUUGUGCAUGACUUCAAGAAGAGGACAUGGACCACAGUGAAAUUAUUAAUUUGUUCUGUUGUUCAGACAUCUCAGGAGUCACGAGAAACGUACAUUUUUAUUGCAUAAACAGUUGUUAUGUACGUGUCUGUUUAUAAGGCACUAUUUUAAUAUCGUUCCUAAAAAUUUAUAUUUCCCAUAUAUAUUUGUAUCUACACUAUUUAUAUUUGAUCCUUUUUUUUGUUGACAUGUCUGUUCAUAGCAGACACUGUGUACUAUUGUUCAGAAAUAUUUGACACGCAUUUUUAUUCCAUUGACACUUGUUUACAUGUCUGUUCUCAGCAGACACUUUUGUAUUGUGGUUUACUGUCAGAAGCAAGAAUAAACGUUUAUUUGUCUGCUGAAAAAGCUCUGUUGACAUUUCUCAAUACAAAAGUAUUUCAAUGCAUUAUAUUUGAACCAUAUUUGAAUCAACUGCUGACAACAUACAGAACAGCUGUGUUUCACAGACUAUACAGGCGUUCUUCUACUUGUGGUGUAGUUCAAUGUAAUAUAAAUUACUUCACACUGAGAUGUCUCAGAAUCAGGUUUGAAUUUUAUUAACACGUUUAAAACUCUACUGGUUCACAGUGCACACAAAGAACUGAGUCUUUGCGUCCAUCAAGAAUCCUCACCCUUGCAGCCAUGAUGCCGAAUGAAUUCUCUGACUCUCUGACAAUGAGAGUGGUGGUAGUUCCAGGUACGCCCAGGUUUAUUGACACCUGUGAAUGACAGAUAACAAGAGAAUGUCAGAUAAAUAUUUGGUAAACAAAAACACCAUACCAUUUUCCAUGAAACAUAAUCCAAAAGCAUUGAUAACAUGGAACUUCUCAUACAGAGGUGCGUACAUGUAUGCAGUAACAAGGGAAAUAAUAACAGAAAAUAAAACUUUAUAUAAUCAACAUACCUGGAUAAGGGCACAUGAGCUUCUAUGUAGGGGGAAAGCUGCAUCUCCCAGGAAAACAUGAGAACUUGACGUUGUGGUACCUGGCAGGACAGCUGGCAGGACAGUGGUAAAUCCAGGGUCUCUUGAAACACACCACCGUAGCCCUCUCUGCUGUAAUGCCUCUACAUCCACCAUUGUGCACCUGUAGCGGGCAUCUUCUCUGUCUCAGUAUCACACCUAUUAUAUGUGUUGCUAGCAACGAGCUAUUCUCAGGACCAAAGAAGCAACCUGAACGAGGAACCACCCAACUCAACCAGAGACACAGCCAUCUUCUUCAGUUGUUCUCCUUCAUGCGGCCUGAACAAUCAAGAGGCCACAACACAUUUUGAAUAAGACUGAGUAUAACAUCACUACAUUUUCAGGAUCUCCAGGUCUUCAGGUCCUGUCUUUCAUUCCAUUUCCUACCUUUUCAUGAUCCUUCUCAUUACGUUUGGAAAUAUUUCAAUUAAUGUUUUUAAAUGUGACUGACUGGCUCAAUUCGAUCCUAUUUAUCAACAUUUUAAAUGUAUUUAUUUUAUUUUAUUGGAAAACAAUGUGAACAAUGGGAAAGUAAUUCUGCUUUGAAAGUUUAUAAACUUCAAACCUCACUUUUGAGAAAAUGGCCCUUGAAUGUUUUGUUAAACCUACUGGAGAGCUCUUCUUUGUCUACACCCAUGGUUCACACCCACUUAAGUCUCAGCCCCAACCAUCUCUUUAAGGAUUCACAUAUGAGGCCAUGUAGUAAACAACCAAAGAUUUGAAUACUAAAGGCUGGUUUAUACUACAUCUAUCGACAGUUGUCACAUCAUCAUGAACAUUCUAUUGCCAUCCGACAUCAAACUUGUUGUUGUCGUUCUGAAAAAGCAUAAACACAAAAACUACAGGCUGCACUAGUGCAUUUUAACACCAUUAAAUCCACCCGUUUAUAAAUGAAUUGAGUAUAUGUCAAUCUAUCAAACCAGGCAACUAAAAGCAACUUUCUAAACAAUGUUUUUGUGUGUUUCUAGCUUGUUAGCUAGCUUGCUAUGGUGUAUAAUUAUGUCUGCAACACCUCUCAUCACUCAUAUUUAUGUAAGGAGACUGGAAAAACACCCCCAAUUAGUGUCUAACUGUGAAGUGUCCCUUUAAAGUCAAGGCCAGGGUGGACUGGCCAAAUUUCUACUACUUUUCAAUGUCCAUUGGUGUCCGGUGUCGGUCGGUGCUCAGUGGGUGAGGAUGCUGGUUACAGUAAAUGGAAAGGGCUGGGGAGGUGAUAUUAACUGGAGAGUGAGAGAUAGACGCAGAGAGGGAGAGAGGGGGAGGGGUUGUCUAGACUCAGACUGUUUUAACACUCUUGGUUUGACUACAAGACAACGGAAAGACAAAAUAAAACAAUAAUGACCUGAAGAUAACAGUAUGCGAGUGGAAGGGAGUAGCAGGUGUCCCAACUGUGGUUUGUGACUAUUAUGACUCUCCAUUGUAACCAAUUCCGUUGCAAUAAUUCCGUUACUGAUUUUUGGGGAAUUUCCGUUACCAAUUUGUUAGCGGAAUUACGAGUUUUAAUCACUAACACUUUACAUUUAGUUGCCUCUAUUACUUUGUAACUAACACAGUAAUAAUUGUGCUUACAACAUUGUAAGUAGUUAAAUAGGUUUCACAAUUUAAUCACAUGGUAAUAGGGUUGUUGCAGAAUCAGUUAUUAGACAAUUGGAACAAGGAAUGUGUCAUUACAUAUUUACUUGCUGAAGGUUAUUCCACAUGUGUAACUACAUAUGUUAUUACACAUUGUCUUGUUCCAGUGUGUUACUACUGUUUUGUAAUUACAUGGUUGAAAGUGACCUGUGAAUUACCAUGUUAAUAACUUGAACCAAAAUCUGAUCUUACAGAAGAAGAUGGCGCCGACAGAUAUGGCAGCUCUGCUUCUAGCUCCCACAAACAUUUCGCUACACCCUCAACUACAAGGUGCCGAUACCAGGGUUGAUAAAUAGGCUAGGACCUGGUAACAACAAUUGUAAGACGGCACACCCUGUCAUGACCUGGCUCAAAGGCUAUGUAAGAACAAUGUAGUUUCAUAGGAUAUACUUGUAAUUAAACUGAACAAAAUAAUAAACGCAACAAGCAACAAAUUCAAAGAUGUUACUGAGUUACAGAUCGUAUAAGGACAUCAGUCAAUUUAAAUAAUUAAAUUAGGCCCUAAUCUAUGGAUUUCACAAGACUGGGAAUACAGAUAUAUGCAUAUGUUGGUCACAGAUGUGGCGUUCCGCAUUAGCAUCGAAUAGCCCCCGUGAUAUGCAACUUUUCAGGGAAGUUAGGAACAAAUAUACACAGGCAAUUAGAAAAGCUAAGGCAAGCUUUUUCAAACAGAAAUUUGCACCCUGUAGUACUAACUCAAAAAA